rnacentral:rRNA from 1 species
CAGACUGGAACUGAGACACGGUCCAGACUCCUACGGGAGGCAGCAGUGAGGAAUCUUCCACAAUGGACGAAAGUCUGAUGGAGCAACUCCGCGUGCAGGAUGAAGGCCUUCGGGUCGUAAACUGCUUUUAUGAGUGAAGAAUAUGACGGUAACUCAUGAAUAAGGGUCGGCUAACUACGUGCCAGCAGCCGCGGUCAUACGUAGGACCCAAGCGUUAUCCGGAGUGACUGAGCGUAAAGAGUUGCGUGGGUGGUUUGUAAAGUGAAUAGUGAAAUCUGGCGGCUCAACCGUACAGGCUAUUAUUCAAACUCACAAACUCGAGAAUGGUAGAGGUAACUGGAAUUUCUUGUGUAGGAGUGAAAUCCGUAGAUAUAAGAAGGAACACCAAUGGCGUAGGCAGGUUACUGGACCAUUUCUGACACUGAGGCACGAAAGCGUGGGGAGCGAACCGGAUUAGAUACCCGGGUAGUCCACGCCGUAAACGAUGGAUACUAGCUGUUGGAGGUAUCGACCCCUUCAGUAGCGAAGCUAACGCGUUAAGUAUCCCGCCUGUGGAGUACGGUCGCAAGACUAAAACAUAAAGGAAUUGACGGGGACCCGCACAAGCGGUGGAUCGUGUUCUUUAAUUCGAUGAUAAACGAAGAACCUUACCAGGGUUUGACAUCCUUGGAAUUUCUGUGAAAGCAGAGAGUGCUUUAUUGAGCCAAGUGACAGGUGAUGCAUGGCCGUCGUCAGCUCGUGUCGUGAGAUGUUUGGUUAAGUCCAUCAACGAGCGCAACCCUUGUGAUUAGUUGUAUUUUUCUAAUCAGACUGCCCCGGUAACGGGGAGGAAGGAGGGGAUGAUGUCAGGUCAGUAUUUCCCUUACACCCUGGGCUAGGCCGCGAGGUGGAGCUAAAAUCACUAGUGAAUUC